rnacentral:misc_RNA from 1 species
GAUGAAGAACGUAGCGAAAUGCGAUAAGUAAUGUGAAUUGCAGAAUUCAGUGAAUCAUCGAAUCUUUGAACGCACAUUGCGCCCCUUGGUAUUCCGAGGGGCAUGCCUGUUCGAGCGUCAUUAUAACCCCUCAAGCUCAGCUUGGUGUUGGGGCCUGCCGCACGGGCAGCCCUUAAAAUCAGUGGCGGUGCCAUCUGGCUCUAAGCGUAGUAAUUCUUCUCGCUCUGGAGGUCCGGUCGUGUGCUCGCCAGCAACCCCCAAUUUUUUUCAGGUUGACCUCGGAUCAGGUAGGGAUACCCGCUGAACUUAAGCAUAUCAAUAAGCGGAGGA